GAGAUGUUAGUAAACCAAUUACAUGGCCUUGUCAGCGCUAAAUCACAGGUGAAACCCCCGUACAUCUCA
rnacentral:tRNA from 1 species